CCCACUGUCCCAGAGACAGGCACAGGACAUACCCGCAGUGCCACCAUGCCUGGAAGAUGGGUCUCUCAGAAGGUAGAAGAGGGUGACCAGGACUCGACAGCUCAGGGAGCACAGAACGCAGGAGAUCCCUUACGCUCACGCAUCACCUGGGACUCAACGCUCCCCCUCUGCAGGGUUCAUGUCACAGGAAGGAUCAGACAUGUGGGGACCUGAACAAUUCUUCUCUGUCUUCUCUUGGUGAGUUGCCCUUGGAUCUUCCGUUGCAGAAGGUACCUGUCUAGGUUAAGGGAAGUGACAGCUGGCAACCUCAGGCUGCUGUGAACUCUUGAGCCAAGUGACAGCUCCCUCUGCUGGCCCAGUAGCAAAGUCCUUAGGAGAACUCUGCUGCCCAGGCCCAUGUCACAUGCCCAUCCCUGUGACCAAGGAAGAAAGCCCUGGGGUUGCCAGCUCCUUCCAAACCACACAGAGAGGAAGGGAAGUGGCCCAAGGUUCCUCAGAAGGGAAGCUAAUGCCACCCCUCAGAAAGUCCAGAUGCCAAGUCCACAAGAGUAGCCGCUGCCAGCCAGCCUCCAAGACCUGCAGCUUCCGAGACUGAUCACCGCUUUAUCAAGCCCGAUCACUCGGAUCACCAGGAUGUCCAGGAGGAGAGACAGCAGCUUUCCUCAGAGGUGAGGAAUCGAGCCCCGAGAAAGCAAGGCGCCCAGCGCACCAGACAAUAAAAUCAGAAGAGGGACUUGCUAUUAGCGCCUCUAUCUCCAGCCUUUCCUUGCUGCUCUGAGCUCAGGUUCAAAAGGUGAGGUGUUACCACCACCUGAGCGGCCGCCACCACCAUCCACAUCUGUCCCCACAACCACACUUCACCAUCACCACCACCACCACCACUAAUCUUCAACCACUAUCAUCUCCUUCAUCAACAUUCCGCCAUUCGCCACUACAACCAGUACCCCACCAUCCAUGUCCCACUGUCAGUACCCGAUGACCAUGGUAUCAACGCACACCACCAUCCCCGUCAUCAGUCUCUUUAUUACUGUCCCACCACCUCUCCGCCCUCAAGGUCCCAUCACGACCACUACCACCAAAGUCUAGGCAUACUAGCACCACCACCAGCAUGGCUUCUCUCCUACAUCUAUCACUAGCACAACCCCAACACUGCCACACCUUCCCCGUGACCCUCACCGUUGAAAACAACCCCUAGGCUCACCAUCACCACCACACCAUCACCAUAGCAACAACAAAAACAUCACUACCUUCAUCCUCCAGGCAGCUCAUCAUGCCUGGAGCAGCCAUUCUUUGCUGGAGACAGAGCCAAGGAGCUGAGAAGAAGCAGUGGACUGAAUCACUUUCCAAAUGUGGCUCCUUUCCUGAAGGUCAAGCUUGAACUCAGCCUCUUUGUGGCUGGGACCCAGGAACCUGCUCACAGCAUUGAAAUGUCAUUCAGAGAUGGCCGAGCUGAUCUCAAAGGCCUACCGGGGUGUUCUGGGACAAAUACACAUGAGUCACUAAGGCUGACAUUUUUUGUGAUCUGACGAGGUUUCUCCCCUGGGGAUCUGCUCACUUGGCCUCCACAAACAGGCAGUGCAACUGUGGACACACACUCUGGUCAUCAAUGUGGGGCUGCAGGGAGCUGGUCUCUGGCCUCCUGUCUUCUGCCUUGUGACUCCCAGGCCACCCUGGGGUCUUCUUUCUGGGCCACAAACCUCAUCUCCUUCCUUCUUUUUCACUCUCAGAU